GGAAGGGGCAGUGGACAUGCAUCCGACUGGAGAUGAGCCCUGUCAGAUCUAGACAUCUACCCCAUGGAAUCAGAAAGAUCUGGCAGAAGUUUCCCACUCUUUCCAUCUGGGGGAGAUGGCUAACCGUAAGGGGGUAUUGUCAUAAGGUCAAUUGAUCAGUUAGGGUGGGUAGGAACAGAUCACAAUGGUGGAAUGUUAUUUUUUGUGGUUCUUCAUUUGCUUCAGGUCCUAAUGGAAUGAAAUGUCCGCUGGGGAUUCCAACCUCUUUUCUCUCUUUGAUUGACAGUGGAAUCUGGCCCCAGGUUUGUGGUGAUGAGGAAUCAGAUAAACUCUAUAGAGAUGGUUUGAGUGGUUGGGGUCAGGAUGACCACUUCUGAUAGCAACUCAAUCAUACCGAAUUCAUUCACAUUAUCUCAUUGGUUCCUCACACCAACCUGUGUGAUGGGCAGUAACUCAGGUGUGAUGAUUAUUCCCAUUUUACAGAUGAGGAAAGUAAGGCUGGCAGAAGUAAUGGGACUUGUUCAAUGUCACACAACCAGAAGGUUGUGAGGUCUGGGCAAAAAUACAGGAGGUCUGACUUAGAUGCUCCACCUUCCCCA
rnacentral:lncRNA from 10 species